rnacentral:lncRNA from 1 species
UGUGUUUUUGGAAGACUACAGUUUGCUUUAUUCAGAAAUAAAAUAUGUUCCAAAAUUCCAAAGGAAUAUUCCAAAAUAUGCCAAACCUCUCUCAACCUCUCUUUUCCCCCACCCUUCCAAUGAGUUAGUUUGGAUUUUGAAAUAUAUUGACAUGUAGCCAGAAGCCUGGUGAUUUUACCUGGGAAAUAAAUUCUUUAUCACUUCACUUUUCUUUCUGAUACCGCACUAUGCUUGAGAGGAUGACCAGCUGCCCAUCCAAAACAGACAAGGCAAAGGUCUCUGGGCCCCAGGGUGAUGAGUUUGCCUUUCCCCCAGGGUUGCUGUGGCUCUCAGAAGGCAGCAGAGACUGGUGGGUGGACAGUCAUAUGCUGUGAGGUUGGUCACUGGCCCCACUGGUCCCAGGACUCAAUCACAUAAUCAGGUGAG